rnacentral:rRNA from 1 species
GAUCCUGGCUUAGAUUGAACGCUGGCGGCGUGCUUAACACAUGCAAGUCGCGCGUGAAAGGACUUCGGUCCGAGCAAAGCGGCGCACGGGUGAGUAACGCGUGGAUGAUCUACCCAUGAGUUAGGAAUAACGGCUGGAAACGGUCGCUAAUACCAAAUACGCUCCGAUUUCAACUUCGGGGGAAAGGUGGCCUCUGCUUGCAAGCUACUGCUCAUGGAUGAGUCCGCGUCCCAUUAGCUAGUUGGUGGGGUAACGGCCCACCAAGGCGACGAUGGGUAGCCGGUCUGAGAGGAUGACCGGCCACACUGGGACUGGAACACGGCCCAGACUCCUACGGGAGGCAGCAGUGGGGAAUAUUGCGCAAUGGGCGAAAGCCUGACGCAGCGACGCCGCGUGAGGGAUGAAGGUCCUCGGAUCGUAAACCUCUGUCAGGAGGGAAGAACCGCCACGGUGCUAAUCAGCCGUGGUCUGACGGUACCUCCAAAGGAAGCACCGGCUAACUCCGUGCCAGCCGCGGC